rnacentral:rRNA from 1 species
ACGUACGCUGGCGGCACGCCUAACACAUGCAAGUCGAACGAAGUAGCAAUACUUAGUGGCAGACGGGUGAGUAACAUGUAGGUAUCUGCCCUUUGGCCUGGAAUAACACGAGGAAACUUGUGCUAAUACCGGAUAAGUCUUUACAGAGAAAGCUUUAUGCACCAUUGGAUGAGCCUGCACUUGAUUAGUUUGUUGGUGGGGUAAUGGCCUACCAAGACUGUGAUCAAUAGCUGAUUUGAGAGGAUGAUCAGCCACAUUGGGACUGAGACACGGCCCAAACUCCUACGGGAGGCAGCAGUGGGGAAUCUUGCACAAUGGAGGAAACUCUGAUGCAGCGAUGCCGCGUGAGUGAAGAAGGCCUUUGGGUUGUAAAGCUCUUUCGUCGGGGAAGAAAAUGACUGUACCCGAAUAAGAAGGUCCGGCUAACUUCGUGCCAGCAGCCGCGGUAAUACGAAGGGACCUAGCGUAGUUCGGAAUUACUGGGCUUAAAGAGUUCGUAGGUGGUUGAAAAAGUUAGUGGUGAAAUCCCAGAGCUUAACUCUGGAACUGCCAUUAAAACUUUUCAGCUAGAGUAUGAUAGAGGAAAGCAGAAUUUCUAGUGUAGAGGUGAAAUUCGUAGAUAUUAGAAAGAAUACCAAUUGCGAAGGCAGCUUUCUGGAUCAUUACUGACACUGAGGAACGAAAGCAUGGGUAGCGAAGAGGAUUAGAUACCCUCGUAGUCCAUGCCGUAAACGAUGUGUGUUAGACGUUGGAAAUUUAUUUUCAGUGUCGCAGGGAAACCGAUAAACACACCGCCUGGGGAGUACGACCGCAAGGUUAAAACUCAAAUGAAUUGACGGGGACCCGCACAAGUAGUGGAGCAUGUGGUUUAAUUCGAAGAUACGCGCAGAACCUUACCAACACUUGACAUGUUCGUCGCGACUCUAAGAGAUUAGAGUUUUCGGUUCGGCCGGACGAAACACAGGUGCUGCAUGGCUGUCGUCAGCUCGUGUCGUGAGAUGUUGGGUUAAGUCCCGCAACGAGCGCAACCCUCACUUUUAGUUGCCAUCAUUAAGUUGGGCACUCUGAAAGAACUGCCAGUGAUAAGCUGGAGGAAGGUGGGGAUGACGUCAAGUCCUCAUGGCCCUUACGUGUUGGGCUACACACGUGCUACAAUGGUAUCUACAACAGGAAGCAAGACUGCGAAGUUAAGCAAAUCCCUAAAAGAUACCUCAGUUCGGAUUGCACUCUGCAACUCGAGUGCAUGAAGCUGGAAUUACUAGUAAUCGUGGAUCAGCGUGCCACGGUGAAUGCGUUCCCGGGUCUUGUACACACCGC